GGAUGGGCCUUUAUCCGCCCUCUCACGGCGAAAACACGGGUUCGAGUCCCGUAGGGGUCACCA
rnacentral:tRNA from 3 species